AUUGAACGCUGGCGGCAGGCCUAACACAUGCAAGUCGAACGGUAACAGGAAACAGCUUGCUGUUUCGCUGACGAGUGGCGGACGGGUGAGUAAUGUCUGGGAAACUGCCUGAUGGAGGGGGAUAACUACUGGAAACGGUAGCUAAUACCGCAUAACGUCGCAAGACCAAAGAGGGGGACCUUCUGGCCUCUUGCCAUCGGAUGUGCCCAGAUGGGAUUAGCUAGUAGGUGGGGUAACGGCUCACCUAGGCGACGAUCCCUAGCUGGUCUGAGAGGGUGACCAGCCACACUGGAACUGAGACACGGUCCAGACUCCUACGGGAGGCAGCAGUGGGGAAUAUUGCACAAUGGGCGCAAGCCUGAUGCAGCCAUGCCGCGUGUAUGAAGAAGGCCUUCGGGUUGUAAAGUACUUUCAGCGGGGAGGAAGGGAGUAGAGUUAAUACCUUUGCUCAUUGACGUUACCCGCAGAAGAAGCACCGGCUAACUCCGUGCCAGCCGCCGCCGUAA
rnacentral:rRNA from 1 species